CAAAUACUUUUUUCCCUCACUGUAGAUGCAUGUUGGUGCUUUACAAGUUCCUCGAGUUUGUAUUCUACUGAGGUUAAUCUCCAGUCUUGUGUGCUCAGUGAGGCCUACAGCAUGGCAGUGCAAGAGGUGGCUCCCUCCAUGGCAUCCUUGAAGAAGGCCAUGUCUGAUGCGAUGUCAGCGAACAUGGUCUUGUGCAGGCUUGCAGUGACUGGCUCAUUGGCAGUGGGUUGCCUGGACUUGGGACCUGUGGGAAGGUUGAACAAAACCCCAGCGCCUUGAUCAAAAGGGCUUUCCUCCGAGGAAUAGGAAGAGCCCUCGUCCCUCAUCACCAUUUUGUCCCGAUUUUGGUCCCGAUUUGUCCCGAGUUCUCCGAUAUCGCGGGAAGAUGUGCCUUUGCCGGCUCUCUGUUUUAUGUUUUUGCGUCCCAUGACCACCCAUCUCAGCCUAGAGAGGGGGAGAUGAGCAGGUAAGUACUUUUACCAUCUUAAAUCAGUCGAUUUUGUUAUUUGGAGGCACACAGCCCACAAGAGCACAAUUUCUCCAUUCUUCAGCUGGCUCGGUUCCCCUUGUUCAAUUGUUUUAGGUUUUAAAACCCUAAAUAUG